UCCCUGGUGGCUUAGACAGUAAAGCGUCUGCCUGCAACGCAGGGGACUCAGGUACGGUCCCUGGCUUGGGAA
rnacentral:tRNA from 1 species